rnacentral:misc_RNA from 1 species
UUAAGUUCAGCGGGUAGUCCUACCUGAUUUGAGGUCAGAUUUCAAAAAGUUGACCACCACCCUUGAGAGGCGGUCGGGGAAGGGCACAAGAGGGGAACGUCUCUGUCGAGCGAGGAUGGUACAACGCCCAGUCGAGUUCGACCCACAGGCCCAACCGAUGCAUUUGAGGGGAGCCGCCUCACGGCGGCAGAGCCCCCAGC